ensembl:lncRNA
CUGCGCCGAACCGAACCGGACCGGGAGGGGUUACAGUGAGGCGGUGGAACCGGGCCGAACCGAACCGGGCCGGGGGGGUGGGGGAAUAAGUGUUGGAACCGGACCGUGCCGAGGGGGGAGGGCCAGAAGAGAUGGAACCGGGCCGAACCGAACCGGACCGGGAGGGGUUACAGUAAAGCGGUGGAACCGGGCCGAACCGAACCGGACCGGGAGGGGUUACAGUAAAGCGGUGGAACCGGGCCGAACCGAACCGGACCGGGAGGGGUUACAGUAAAGCGGUGGAACCGGGCCGAACCGAACCGGACCGGGAGGGGUUACAGUAAAGCGGUGGAACCGGGCCGAACCGAACCGGACCGGGAGGGGUUACAGUGAGGCGG